rnacentral:lncRNA from 1 species
CAUAUUAUGGAAAUAAAUAAAUUCCAAUGUUAUUAUAUUCGACUAUUUGUGUAUUCUCUUUCUCUCUAUAUAUGUGACAAAGAAAGUUUUGCUUGUGUCAUCAGAAAAAAAUAGUUCAAUAUUCUUGUCAUCAAGAAAAUUUUCUUGAGCUCUUCUUUCCGAUCAUCAAAAUGCCUGGAAUCGCUUUCGGAAGAUUUGACGAUUCAUUUACCAUUGGCUCAUGAAGGCCUAUGUGGCUGAAUUCAUAUCCACCUUGCUCUUCGUCUUCACCUAAUUGGGCUCCACCAUUGCUUAUAGUUAGUACUAAAACCACUCUCUUAUUUUUCACAGCCUAUAUUUGCGUGCAUGAAAACUAUAGUAAGUGCGAUAUAUAAUAUGCUGAUAUUUAGUAACAUUUUGAUAGUUGAUAGAUAAGUUGGCGGCGGACGCGGCCCUUGAUCCAGCAGGGUUGGUGGCGUUGCUGUUUGCCAUGGUUUCGCCCUGUUUGUAGCUGUCUCGGUCGGAACCAACAUCUCCGACGGCCAUGUAAACCCUGCAGUCACCUUUGGUUUGGCUCUUGACAGCCAAAUUACACUUCUUAAUGGCAUUUUUUUUAUUGGAUUGCUCAACUUUUGGCUCCAUUGUGGCAUGCUUUUUGCUUGUAGUUGUCACCGGAGGAUUGGUAAGUUCAAUUGUAAUUGAAAAUGCAAAAUUUACAUGUUUAGUAAGUUAGAUUGGCCACUGUUUCUAAUAGUCAAGUCUUGAUCUUUGUCGUCAAACUGGCUGAAAAGCCCAAACACGAUAUUAAACACAAGAUGCUAAGGAUCGAUUUAUAGCAGAGAUCAAAACUUGAAGAAAAAAAAAACUGAACACCGAGGAAUUUUUUGGUCAAAGCCUCGGAGGUUCAGUAACCAUUUUAAUACCUAGUCCCCUGUUGAGCAUCCAUUCAAGAACGGAUAUUGCUCGGUUGCACUAUAAUGCCUUAAACUGGCAACGAAGGAUACAAACGUUUAGCCAAUACAAGAAUACAAUAUAAGAGACUUAUCUCUUCACAAAGAACCAACAAAUCUGGCUCGAAUCACACAAGAAACUGCAGAUCUGACUUCACGAACCCAAAACACUAGUUCUCACAAUUAUUACAGAUUUCACACAAGAAAUCACAUGUAUUCAAGACUAAACUCUCAAAAAUAUCAUUUCGAAUGAGAGGUUCAAAAUAAUGGCGAAUCAGAAAACCCUAGCCACUCACAGAAGAUGAACCCUCUCGAAAAUGAAAAGCCAGAAGAAAUAUCUCAAGCCAAACAAAUCGUCUAAGGGUAAUUAUAUCACCAAGACCAAUUGACUCAUCCAACGGUUCAUGAUGUGCCAAGUGUCAGCAUCCAGUGUAAAGAUCACUUUAUAAAAUUGCAUUUACAUAAAACUUCUUUAGCUAAAAAUUAUGGGAGCACAAAAAAUCGGGUUCAAGUCACAACAAUCUCCACUUUGCUACCAUAGUUUUCAGGUCAUAGUGUAGCCCGGAGCAUAUCACAUUCUCUUGUUUCAUACGCUCCAAAAGUACUUGUUAAAAAAAUUACAAUGUAUAAAUAGAUAAUGUCUUUAGACAGUUUUUAAACUUGUUUAAAGGUAUUAUCUUGGUCCACAUAUCAGAAGGAUUAACCUGAGUAGCAACCUUCCCAAUUUUCAAAAUUCCUUAUGAAAUUAUAUCCCUUAUAAAAUGAUAUUUGACAUUUAUGUGUUUAGUUCUAUCAUGAUACCUAGGGUUUUUAAUUAGAUGUAUGGCACUUUGGUUAUCUGAAUAUAAAGUUACAUUUUCAUCAACAAAACCAAGUUCCUUUAGUAAUCCACUUAGCCAAAUUCCUUCUUUAAAGGCAUUAGAAGCAACAAUAUAUUCAGCUUCAAUAGAUGAUAAAGUUACAAUCUUUUGAAGUUGAGAUUUCCAACCAAUCACAGUACCACAUAAGGUAAAGAAAUAUGAUGAAGUUGAUUUCAUAUUAUCACUAUUUCCAGCAAAAUCUAAAUCAGUAAAUCCCUUUAAAGUUACCCUUUCUUUAUUCAACUUAAACAUGAGACCAUAGUUAGAUGUCUCUUUCAAGUAUCUUAAAAGCCAUUUCAAAGCAUUCCAAUGUUCUUCCCCAGGAUUAGUCAUAAAUUUGCUAAGUAUACUAAUACUGAAAGGAAGAUCAGGUCUUGUGCAUACCUUCAAAUACAUCACAUAUCCAAUCACAUUAGCAUAAGGUACAGUCAACAUUCUAUCAUAUUCUUCAACAGUUUUAGGGCAGAAAUAAGAAUAAAGCUUGAAAUGAUUUGUUAAAGGUAAAGUAACAAAUUUACAAUCAAGCAUAUUAAACCUUCUUAAAAUUUUAUUCACAUAAUCAUGUUGGUUUAAGAACAAUAUAUCUUUUUCUUUAUCUCUGAAAAUCUGCAUACCAAGAAUUUUUUUGAUAGCUCGUAAAUCCAUCAUAUCAAAUUUAGAUUUAAGUUUCUGUUUAAUAAACUCAAUCUCAGAUUUAUCACAACUGACAAGUAACAUAUCAUCUACAUAAAGUACUAAGUAUAAAGAGUUUUUACCUCCAUUACCUUUGCAGUAUAGGCAUAUGUCAUAGUUGCUUCUUUGAAAGCCAAGUUUUAGUACAAAGCUGUCAAAUCUUUUGUACCAUUGCAUUGGGGCUUGUUUUAAACCAUACAAAGAUUUCUUUAAAAGGUAUACAACUUUUUCAGAAUCACCUUUUAUAAAGCCAACAAAUUGUUUCAUAUAAAUUUUUCCAUCUAAUUCACCAUACAAGAAGGCAAAUUUAACAUCUAACUGAUCCAGUUCCCAUUUAAACUGAACAACAGCGGCAAGAAUUCAUCUGAUUGUGGUGUACUUAACAAUAGGGAAAAGAUUUCAUUGUAAUCUACUCCAUCUUUCUAUGUAAAACCCUUAGCAACUGAUCUUGCUUUAUAUCUCACACAUUUGUUUCCUCCCUCUCCUUCUUUUAUCUUGCAAAUCCAUUUACAAUCGAUCAAAUUUUGAUUCUUAGGUCUCUUUACCAAUUCCCAAGUAAGAAGAGAUGACAUUUCAUCAUUCAUUGCUACUAUCCAAUUUUUAGCAUCUUUGCAAUUAAUGGCAUCAUCAUAGGAGUUUGGUUCAUUUUCAAAUUGUUCUUGAUAGGUAAAUAGUGAAACAAAAUCAUCACAAUCAAAUCUAGCAGGUAUUCUAAUUUUCCUUCUCUCCCUAUCUCUAGUUAACUGAUAUUCAUUUAAGGGAGGGUUUGCAAAAUCAGUUUAUUCAUCUGUAUCAGAUGAUUGAUUGUUUUCAGUUUCAGCAGUAAUGCUAUUUUCAUUUUGAUCAAGUUCAGUUAAGGUAGCAACAUGAGAAUAAGUUUCACUAUGAAAUUUCUCCACCUCAAUCUGAACAUCUUUUUUAGUCAGAUUAUUCUCCUUUCCUUCUAAACAUGGCAUAAUAGAUUCAUUGAAAACUACAUCUCUUCUAAUAAUUACUUUAUAGCCAUUUUCUUUGCAAAGCCAUAAUCUAUACCCUUUUACAUUUUCACCAAAGCCUAGAAAAAUACACUUAAGUGAUCUAGGUUCUAACUUUCCAAUAUUCUGAUGGGCAUAGGCAGCACAUCUAAAAAAUUUUAAAUGUGAAUAAUCAACAGGAUUUCUAGACCAAACGGAUUCAAGAAUAUCAUAAUUCAGAGCACUUGUUGGAGUUCUAUUAACUAAAUAUGCAACAGUUUUUACUGCUUCACCCCAAAAUAGUUUUGGUAGACCAGAACUCAAAAGCAUACAUCUCACUUUAUUCAUUAAGGUUCUAUUCAUCCUUUCAGCUAUAUCAUUUUGUUGAGGGGUAUAAGUAACUAUUCUAUGUCUUACUAUUCCACAUUCUUUGCAAAAAUUAUUGAAUUCAUAAUUGCAAAAUUGCAAACCAUUGUUUGUUCUCAGGAUCUUUAUUUUGUUAUCAGUUUGAUUUUCAAUUUGAAUUUUCCAUUCCCUGAAAAUAGAAAAAAGUUUCAUCUUUUGAUUUUAACAAGAAAAUCCAAAUUUUCCUUGAAUAAUCAUCAAUAAUUAAAAGAUAAUAUUUAAAAUCAGACAAGGUAGUAGCUGAAGUUGGGCCCCACAAAUCAGCAUGCAAAUAUUCAAGUAUUUGUUUAGACUUAUGAAUUCCAGGUAAGAAAGGAAGUUUAACUUGUUUUCCUAUCACACAUUUUUCACAAAUGCCAAUUUCACCAAGAUUUUGAUUUCCAAAAACUUCUUUGUUUUGUAAAGCUUUUAAACUUUUCUUGCCAAUAUGGCCUAACCUUUCAUGCCACAGCUUUGCAAAGGUAAAGUUAUCAGUUAAAGCAGCAACAGUCAAACCCAGUAAAUGUUUUGCUUCAAGAAAAUAGAGACCAUGUCUCUUAGGGGCACUAAUGACCAAGUCAUUUCCCCUAAGAAUUUUCAUACGUCCUUGACCCAUUUUAAUGUCAAACUCUAUAUCAUCAAGCAUUCCUAGAGACACCAGAUUUCUUUCUAAGUCUGGAACAUACCUUGUUCCUUUCAAAUUUAGGACAUUUCCAUCUUCUAACAAUAGUUUUAUGGUUCCUAUUCCACUUAUUUUACAAGUCAUAUUAUUUCCCAUUAUAACCUACCCACCAGUUGUCUUUUCAAAGUCAAGAAAACUAUUCUUGUUUGGGCACAUGUGGAAGGAACACCUAAAGUCAAGGAUCCAUUCAUUAUUUAGCUUCUUUUCAACAUUAACAAGGACCAAUCCAUCUUCAAUUUUAUCCUUAUUGAAUACUAAGGCAGCAUUCCUACCCUCAAGUUUCUUUUCUUUCAGCUCAUUUUUGUUUUUAUAACAAUCUUUAAUAAAAUGACCAUGUUUCCCACGGUAAAAACAUUUUUUUCCCUUUUGCUUUAUUCUUGGAUUUGGUGUUUUUCAUUUCGUUUGUUUCUAUUCUCAUUAAGGUUCUUAGAGUGAUAGGUUAGUUUAUUGAACCCCUUUCCUUUUGCCAUAAGGGUAUCACCACUGUGUUUAUCCUUAGUUUCAGAUUUAAUUUCCAAUGCUUUAGUUCUUAAGGCAUUUAUAAUCACAUCAGUAGUAAGUUCACCCCUUCCAUAUUCAAGAGCAAUAUUAAUGUCUCUAUAUCUGUCACUAAUGGAGUUUAACAGAACUACAGCCAACUGAUCUUUUGAAAAAUUUUCAUCACAGUUGGUUAAGUCUUGGGUCAACUUUCUAAACUUAUUCAAGUUAUCAUCUAAAUCAAUUGAAGGGUCUAUUUUAAAAGAAAAGAGUUGUUUUAACAAAUAGCAUUUAUUUGGGAUAGUCUUAGUAACAUACUGGAUUUCAAGUUUGGUCCAAAGUUCAGAAGUAGUUUUGGUUUCACCAAUGGUUUGUAUCACAUUAUCAGAAAGAUACAAGAAAAUGGUACUCCAGGCAACUUCUUCAAGUUCAGUUUUCCUAAUAGGAUUCAUAUCUUGAGGCCAACUAUCAUCUAAUGCCUUAGCACAUCUCAUUUGCAUAAGUAUGGCUUUCAUCUUUUGACUCCACAUAUUAAAAUCACCUUUUCCAUCAAAUUGAGCAACUUCAAACUUAGCAAUAGCCAUAUCAAUAUAACACAGAGUGCUCAGAUAUGAAUCAAGAAUACAAGGAACAAUUAAUUUCAAGUUUUUGUGUAAUAACAAUACAACAGUGUCACAAGUUUUAACACAGAAGGACAAGAAGUCAAAAACAAUAUAAGGAAUACAAUAUUAGAGAUCACAGAAUUAUGUUUCAGUGACUUCUCCUUCAAAGACCCUCCAGAUACACACCCGUAUUGAAUUUAUCUCAGAUUCCCAAGGCCUCGUAGGAGCCUUUGGACAAAGAAUAUUUUCCAGGGGGUUUUUAGUGUAUGGUAAGUCAAAGGGAAAAAUCCAGAAACCGAAUUUAGUAAUAAAAUUUCCAAAAGAUUCAGAAAGAUCUCACCUAGCGAGUUGUAAAAACUCGAUAUCCUUUAUCCUGCUUAAAAGCAGUUCCAAAGAUUUUCAGAUCUGGAACAGAUUAGUGCCUUCCUUCCAAGAUCUAGGUAUCUUGUCUCUAGUUUAGUGCUCUGAUACCACUGAAAAGCCCAAACACAAUAUUAAAC